GUUUGUCCGCCGCAUAUAUCACUCCUUAGGUCCAAACUACAUGUGGCAUGUCGAUGGCUACGAUAAGCUAAAACCAUUUGGUUUUGCUUUGUCUGGAUGUGUCGAUGGUUUCUCCAGACGAAUCUUAUGGCUUGUUUGUGGCCCUACAAACAACAACCCAGCAGUGAUUGCACAAAACUUUAUUCACUGUGUGCAGUCUCUUGGAUUGGUCCCAAUGAGGUUAAGAACAGACUGUGGAACAGAGAAUGGGGCUAUGGCAGCAAUUCAGUGCACACUUCGUUCUCUUCAUUCAGACUACUACACUGGGUCAGCAAGCCACAUGUAUGGUCCGUCAAUCAGCAAUCAGCGAAUAGAGUCUUGGUGGUCUACAUUCAGAAAGGGCAGGGCACAGUUUUGGAUAGACCUUUUUGGUGAUCUCCAAGAUGCAGGGCAUUUCAACGGCAGUCAUGAACUGCAAUGUUUGCUACGAUUCUCUUUCAACAAUGUGCUUCAGAAGGAUCUCGAUGAGUGCACAGAGCUGUGGAACCUCCAUCGGAUAUGACCAUGUAGACUUGCUAUAUGUCCAGGUGGAGUUCCAACUGAGCUUUACAGUUUACCUCACAGAUUUGGGUCCAGGGACUGUGGAUUCAGAGUAGAAGAGGAACUCCUUACUUUUUCAGAGCUAGGUGAUAUGGUUGUAUCAUGUGGAGACACAGAAAUAGAAGCAUAUGUGGAAC